GCCGGGCGAAGUGGCGGGCGCCUGUAGUCCCAGCUACUCGGGAGGCUGAGGCGGGUGGAUCACCAGAGGUCAGGAGUUCAAGACCAGCCUGACCAACAUGGUGAAACUUUGUCUCUA
rnacentral:SRP_RNA from 1 species